CCUACGGGUGGCAGCAGUGAGGAAUAUUGGUCAAUGGACGAGAGUCUGAACCAGCCAAGUAGCGUGAAGGAUGACUGUCCUAUGGGUUGUAAACUUCUUUUAUCAGGGAAUAAAACAGGGUACGUAUACCCUCUUGUAUGUACCAUAAGAAUAAGGAUCGGCUAACUCCGUGCCAGCAGCCGCGGUAAUACGGAGGAUCCGAGCGUUAUCCGGAUUUAUUGGGUUUAAAGGGUGCGUAGGGGGUUUGUUAAGUCAGUGGUGAAAGUUUGGGGCUCAACCGUAGCAUGGCAGUUGAAACUGGCAGUCUUGAGUACAGUAGAGGUAGGCGGAAUGCGUGGUGUAGCGGUGAAAUGCUUAGAUAUCACGAAGAACUCCGAUUGCGAAGGCAGCUCACUGGACUGAAACUGACGCUGAGGCUCGAAAGUGUGGGUAUCAAACAGGAUUAGAUACCCCGGUAGUC
rnacentral:rRNA from 1 species